UACGGAGGGGGCUAGCGUUGUUCGGAAUUACUGGGCGUAAAGCGCGCGUAGGCGGCUUUGUAAGUUAGAGGUGAAAGCCCGGAGCUCAACUCCGGAAUUGCCUUUAAGACUGCAUCGCUAGAAUCAUGGAGAGGUUAGUGGAAUUCCGAGUGUAGAGGUGAAAUUCGUAGAUAUUCGGAGGAACACCGAUGGCGAAGGCAGCCCCCUGGGCCAAUACUGACGCUCAGGCACGAAAGCGUGGGGAGCAAACAGG
rnacentral:rRNA from 1 species